GUCCCGUUCGUCUAGUCAGGUCAGGACACCGGGUUUUCAUCCCGGCAACAGGGGUUCGAAUCCCCUACGGGACGCCA
rnacentral:tRNA from 4 species